CCCGUUGUGGCUCUGUGGUUAGCAAACCCAACUAGCAUCCAUGAGGACUCAGGUUCGAUCUCUGGCCUCACUCAGUGAGUUAAGGAUCCAGCGUUGCUGUGAGCUGUGGUGUAGGUCGCAGACACAGCUCGGAUCCCUCAUUGCUUUGGCUCUGGUGUAGGCCGGCGGCUUCAGCUCUGAUUCAUCCCCUAGCCUGUGAACCUCCAUAUGCCUUGGAUGUGACCCUAAAAAGACAAAAAAGAAGUUAGGAUGCUUAGCAUAGACUCACUAUUCUGGCUUUUCUACCUUAAAUCUCAUAUUGACAACUCCCUAUAUGUCAAAUGAUGCCUGGACUGCAUCAUUUUCUUCAAUGAGUCCCUCUCUCUUUGGUGUCCCAGUCAAGAUGAUAUUUCCUUCCGCCAAGGUCAUUAUCUUAGAAACAUAGCUGAUGACACAGGGGAUGGGAAAAUCAUGGAGGAUGUCUCACCCUCCUGUCGGAGUUCCCCACUGACCUUGAACCAGUGUUGUAGGUUAUGAGGGUCAAAGAUCUUCUCUUUGGGCAGGAACACUGAUGGGGCAGGAGGCCAUGGAGCUCUUGGUCAGAGUCCAGGGAAGCCCCUUCUUCUUGAAAUUGUCCUACACAUAUCUGGCGGUCAUGUCCAGACAUAGGGCAUAGCCAAGCCUACGCAGUGCAGGCUUUGAGAAGAGCUCUGGCUCACUCAGCACUGGGCUCCGCAUCUCCCUGAGUGGUCCUUGAGAUUCUUGCUCACACACACGAUGCUCUUCCCCAACUCCCAGAAGCAGGACAAUGGCCUGGUGGUAGCCACGCUCCUGCUCAUGGCCCCCAGAGUCACACAAACUCGUCCUCUUGGGAGUCUCCGGUGGCUGCCUUAGGGCCCCCUGGCGUCUCAGGUCACCCACAGGUCCACACAGCAUCUGGGCCUGAGGCCUACAGACUUUUUCUAAGAAUAAAUUUACCUAUAUUAAGCUGAGUAGUUGAAAUUAGGAAAAUAAAGGCAAACAGAAGCUCGUCCCUUAGAAAACAUACCUAAGAGAAAACAGCAGACAAGGCAGGCUGCUGUAUUCUGCUCUCCCUGCUCCAUCUUCCCCCUACUGCCAAUACUCAGGUGGCUAAAAUAUCCAUCCCCAUUCAUAGAGAGUCUCACUUCCGGCUUGAACUCUCAGCUCCCUCAUCAGGACUUAAUAUCCUAGCCAUUUGCCCCACAUCCCUGGUUCAGGUAACACCUGCCCAUCAUUCACUUAGCUCUUUCACAACCUCAACUAGGCUGUCACGUGUGCCGCUAUCUAGCGGGAUACCCCUGCGGUAACCUGGCUAGAUAACAGUCCACAGUUACUCAAUAAAAACAUCAUCUAGGUGUUUCAGUGAAAGCAUCUGCAGGUGUAAUUGAAGUCCAUAGUCAGUUGACUUUAAGUAAGGGAGUUUAUCCCAGAUGAUCUGGGAUAUCUGAAUCAAGCAGUUGAAACCUUAAGAAUGAGACUGAGGGUUCCAAGAAGCAGAAGGAAUUCCACCUGUGGAAGCAAGUUCAGUCCAGCCUGUCCUCAGUGACCACCCACCUAUGGACUUCAAACUCAUCUAGCCAGACCCACAACUACGUGAGCCCCUUGCAAUAAUUCCUUUAAUACAUAUGUCCUACUACCUCUGUUUAUUUGGUUGAACCCUGACUGAUACAUAUAAGAUACAUGCAAUGAAGAAUAUUAUCUUUCAACCUACUCACCUUCUUUUACUAAAAUUUACUGGUCUUUUUGUUUGUUUGUUUGUUUUGUCUUUUUGCCAUUUCUUGGGCCGCUCCCGUGGCAUAUGGAGGUUCCCAGGCUAGGGGUUGAAUCGGAGCUGUGGCCAAUGGCCUACACCACAGCCACAGCAACUCGGGAUCUGAGCCGCUUCUGCAGCCUACACCACAGCUCACGGCAACGCUGGAUCCUUAACCCACUGAGCAAGGCCAGGGAUCAAACCCCACAACCUCAUGGUUCCUAGUCGGAUUCGUUAACCACUGAGCCAAGAUGGGAACUCCAUAAAAUUUACUGUUUUGUAUACAAAAAUGUAUGUCUACCAUAAGUAGAACACCAGUACCACAUGCCAUAAUGGAAGAAAAUCAUAGAGAUAAAUACAAUAAAAGCUGAAGUCAGUGCCAUUUCAGCUGGAUGCUAUUGCCUGUCAAAGGCUCUGCACUUGAAGCCCAUCCUGCUAGUGUGAGAAAGAAAAUGAGACAGUGGUGAUUGGGUACUGGGAUGUGUCUACAUCAAGGGAAUAGUCUUGGGGAGAUGCUGAUCAGAAGGACUGAUAGAAAACUGAGAAGGGAAUACACUUCUCACCAGGUGGUCCUUGUCAUUUCAUGCUACGUCUGCGUACACCCACCUGAAAUCCUCUUCUGUGCAACCAGAAGUUUCUGUCCAGCACUUGCAGAUACAACCCUGUAAAUUGUGGAAGGAUGGCCUGGGACACAGAUCUCCUUCCUGGUGACCACUCAGUGUCUGGAGCAACUGGUCUUGGUUUAACUGCAGAAAGUUGCCAACUCCAAUCAUGAGGACAGUGGAAUCAACCCACCUGCCUCAUCUUUCCUUUGCACCUGAGAACAGAGCUCAGCAGGGCUCCCUAGGGAUAUCUUGGAGUGUCAAGUUCAUGCACCUUCCCUGCUUCCUAAGGAACUCACGCUGUGCCUACCGGCUGUGCCACAGUUCUUUGGGGCAGAUACACCAUGUACAGUAAUCAGAUUCACAGCACACAGCAGAGCUCUUUUCUCAGCCCCUGCCUGUGUCACUGGGUUCCUUCUUAUUUGACAACUGAGCCCAAUUGCUCACCAGUAAUCUGCAGGAAUCCAAGCCAGCAGAAAGGCACAGGAGGUGAUCCUGAGAUGGGGACUGUAAUAUAUUUGGUCAGGCCCCAAAUAUGCCAAAUAAUGGAAGGGAAAUGGGGUGAGGGUUCAAAUUCCAGCUCUGGCACUUCCCAAUGGGGAGAUCUUAGACCAAAUAACACCAAUUCACUGAGCCCCAGUCUCUUCAUCUGUGAAGCAGACCCAAUAAUAGAACUGAGGUAGAUGCCUGAUAUUUUGUCUUCUUUGUAUUAAAGGGUCCAAUUUGGGGGGUGAAUACCAUCAAUUGCCACAUUUAGUCCAUAUGCUAUGGAUGGGAUGAAUCUUACUUCUACCCCCACUACCCCCUGGGGCCCACACAUGACCCAGCUCCAGCCACUCAAUGUCACCUACCUUCCUGGUUCAAGUUUGUGAGCUACCCUUGGAACAUGCAACCAAAGGUAAUCCACUCAGAGUGAAUGCUGGAGCCACUGAACAAAAGCACUUUCUUUCUACCUGGGUCUUCAGGCUGGGACGAUAGAAGCCAGAGCCACUGGUGGCCAUGCACCCCAUAGAGAGUUUCUACUGAGAACAAGGUCAAUACAGAGGAAAGCAAAGCAGUAUUCGGAGAGAGAGGUCCAAUAAUAUCAUUUGCACCUGGAUCCAGACAGGCCUAAAGCUACUCAGACUUAUCCCAAAGACUUUUUUCAGGUACAUCAUCCAAUAAAACUAGCUUGGACAUUGAAGAGAGCUGAUUGGAGUCACUCACUUGCAUCCUCACUAGGUAACUAUGCCACCUAAGAGGGUAUGAAGAUCAAAUGAGAUGCUAUAAAACCUGAGCACAAUUUGAUGCAUAGUAAGCACCUGAUAAAUGCUAGCUGUGGUUUUGGAGGGUCUAGAUGCAAAUAAGGCACCUAACGUACUUCUCUGGUUGCUUACACAGUGUGAGCACUUAUGCAAUACUGACAGUUGUUACUUCUCCAUGGUAACAACCCUAAGCAUCAGUUCAUUCACCCAGCAGUUCACCCAGCAGUUCAACCAGUCAGCAGGCGCACAUAAGCAUAUUGCCAAAACCCCAUAUUUUAGGUUCCAGAGAUAAAAAGUUAAUAAACCAAAAAACUGGUUAUUGUAAGUACCAAAGCUCAUGGUAGUCACCACUCACCUCUCUGUGGCUUGGUGGACCUUGGCCAAGCCAUUCAAAUGGGAAAAUCAUUUCGCUACUAAGUCGAGAUAAGCUCUAAACAAUAACCAUGAAGAUCCUGCAGAAGCUGAACUUUUCCAAAAGGAAAAAAGGGGCCAAGGGAAAGAUUCAUCUUGUUUCUAAAAUCCAUAUUUAGAUGCUGCCAAGAGUUAGGCAUGACACACAACCCCACUACAUCUUGAUGACAAGAAAGAUUUAAUAAUGACUUUUUCUAAGGUUGACAUACUUAACUAUUCUUCCAAAAAUACCAAUGAAGAGGGGAGAGGGGGGAACAGAUGGAAAGUGACAAAAUGUGUCAAUUGCCCACAUCAUUUCACAACACCAGCAGUCAGAAGGAGAAGUGGUUCAGCAAGUGAUGGAACUGCCAUCUUUGGAUCCAGCUGCCACUGGCAGAUUUCAUCUGUACCUGCUGCAGACAAGCCCCGUGCUCUAAAAGAUUUUUUUUUUAAUAUGAUAAGAGAAAGCAUUAUGGAAUGAAUGUUGCUGGAUAAACUCUUUCAAAAUAAUCUUUUGAAGGCUUCUGAAUUUUUCCAAGGUCUAUGUCACUGGCAGGCAACUUACGACAUUGGUUCAUCUUAUUGAGUAAGGGCAGGAGGGAGGUUAGAAAUGAACACUUACUGAGUCGCUACCAUAUAAACCCUCUCCUUUAAUCCCCACCCCUACCCGUAAGAUAAUUAAUAACCUCACUGUAAAGAUCUUGAGUUCAAAAUAUUUAAGCAAUUAAGGUCACACUAAAAAUGACAAGGACAGAUAAGUCAGACUCCAAAAUUUGUAUGCUCAAUACUACUGCCCACCUGUGAUUCUUUUUCCUCUCCUGUUCUUCUUUUAUUCCUUCUCUAUAAGAACUGGAGCUCA
rnacentral:lncRNA from 1 species